UUUGGCAGCACAUAUAUAAAAAUUUAAUAUUGAAACAAUACAGAGAAGAUUAGCAUGGCCCCUGCCAAGGAUGACAUGCAAAUUUAUGAAGUGUUCCAUAUUUUU
rnacentral:snRNA from 1 species